AUGACUAUAUUCGAUUUGGAUCCGCUUAUGAUAGGUGCUAUUUCAUUGCUCAUUGGGCAUGAAAAUGUUGAGCAAGAGGAUGAUAGUGAUGCCAGUAGUGACGAUGAAGCAAUUCAAAACCCAAAUAUUAUACUUAGUAAAGAGGACGUUUACAAGAGAGCUCAGGACAAUGGCUAUGAGGAGGAUGAAGGCGCAACUUCUAGUUAUUUAUUAUCGCAAAAGGGUCACAAGAAGAAACACAUUAUGCAGCAGAGGAUUAAUGGUUUAGGACCUGCCAAAUUUUCUAUGGAGUGUAGCAUCAGUCAUUGCCAAGGUCCGCGUCUACGUGGACGACCACUACUUCUGUGA
rnacentral:rRNA from 1 species